rnacentral:rRNA from 1 species
GUCUAUGGCUAUACCACCCCCGCCCCCAAAUGCGCCUGAUCUCGUCUGACUGUGGAAGCCAAGCAGGGUUGAGCCUGGUUAAUACUUGGACGGGAGACCGCCUGGGAACACCAGGUGCUGCAGGCU